rnacentral:lncRNA from 1 species
GCAGCAGCAGCUUCCAUAUCCUCCAAUAUCCAGAAUGAAAAAUUGAACUUUCUCAGAAUAGUCUAUAAUGCCAAAAUAAUGAUUGGCUGCUACAUAGAGCAGCAUGAGCCAGAAAAAGAAAAGUAAAAUGGAAAGGAUAAGAAAUGAGACAACAUAACAAGAUAAAAAAAGUAACAGAUUGCAUGAAAAUUCAAUCCACUCGACUAAUUCCAUGAGCUUCCAUGUUUUAACUGCUAAUUAAUACAAAAUUCGCAUGGAGAAGAAAAAAAAGGGAAAAUUCGACAGGCGAUUAAACCAAUAACAAACAUUGGAACAAACAAUAAAAAAACCACUUAAAGAAGCCAAACUGGAACCAAAUUGACAAAAUAUGUUUUCUAGAUUUAUCCUAAAUCUUAAUAUCCUAGCAAAAACCUAAUUUUUCAGUCCCACAAGAGAACGUAGGACAAGCCACUCCAUCUAACAUACCAUGUAAGGAUAAGAAGUCAAGAAUGAUCCUAUGGCCAUUUCCGACAAAUACAAAUCACUUUCUCAAAACCCAAAAUGAUUUGUCAGAACAAGAAAAAAAGAGAGAAUGAAAAGAAAAAAUCGAACAACAAUACUUUAAGAAAAAAGACAAAAAUUGAGGGGAGAGUGAAAAGUUAUCUUAGAAAGUUUUGGACAGAAUAAAAUGCAAGGAGUACCGAUCCACAUGAUCAUUUUUAAGAACUUCCAGGCAGCAACUAGUAAAAGGAAAACUAU